GACGAACCGUGCGAACGUUGUUCGGAAUCACUGGGCUUAAAGCGCGUGUAGGCGGGAGGGCACGUCCGUCGCUGAAAUCCCCCGGCUCAACCGGGGAACGGGCGCGGAUACGACCUUCCUGGAGGGGCGUAGGGGGACCUGGAACUUCCGGUGGAGCGGUGAAAUGCGUUGAGAUCGGAAGGAACGCCCGUGGCGAAAGCGAGGUCCUGGACGCCUACUGACGCUGAGACGCGAAAGCCAGGGGAGCGAACGGG
rnacentral:rRNA from 1 species